CUCCUUAGGGAUCAUGAAGAUCUUGCGUGUCAACUCUGAAGCCCUGCAGCACGUGCCUAGCCAGCUGCAAGACCUUUUCGGAGGAGCCACCAGCAGGCUUCCUGAAGGCCAGGCUGCAGCUCUCAGGCCUGCAGCCAAGCUGAAAACAGUUCUCAUGACUAUGUCUCAUCCCGGAAAGAAGAUCCUUCAUGGCAUGGUCGCUUUCAUCUCAUCAUGAGCUGAGUGUCCAAUACUUACUGAGAUGUGGUCCCCACGUUAAAGAACUUUAGAAAUUGUAAGGCCGCGUGCACCCCUGCCCAUACCUUGAUGUUCCAACCCCCUUGGGUACCAAGAAGGACAGGAAGAUAGAGAAAAUGAUGGUGACGUGGGAGGAGGAAGGAGCCCCUCACCCAGGCUUAAGCUCCUCACCAACUAAGGAUCAAGAACUCCAGCACCAUUAGCAACAUUUGCUUAAGGUCAUUCCCCCUUCCCAGCUAGAAGCCUACAAUUUUCUAGGACUCUAACCAGAAGCCUCAUUUACAGUAAAAGACACAUUCUAAAUCCCUUGUGCAACUCCAGUGGCUUCUGGUUUUUACCUUAUCAGAUUAUAAUCCCACCCUAUAAUCCAUUUACCAAAAAGAAAAAAGAAAAAAGAAAAAAAAAGGCUUCUUAGCAACCUUUGAGAUGUACUGAGAACCGCCGAAAGCGUCUGCACAGCAAAUGCUGGCGCUUGACUUGACCCUUUCUUAAGCCCACACCACACUCUUUAGUGUGCCUUAUUCUUUCCUUAAAUAAAACCUUCCUCUUUGUUUUUAAUAAACCCAACCACGCCUCCUGAGAGAAUGAAAGGACUCCUUAGGCAUGGAAGCGUCGGUGUGCCUCUGUCCCAGCAAUCGUUGACAGUACCUGAGAUUAUGACCUUGUUUGCUAGUUUUUGGAGAGUCAAGCCAAGAUGAGGCCAUAAAAGGCCAAGCCUGGCAGUCUUCUGAGGGAGAGAUUUGGAGAUUGACACAUGGGAAGAAAGCCACGUGAAGAGAGAGGCAGGAAUUGGAUCAUCACAGCCAUGAGAGAUGGCAUGAUUGCCAAGCCCCUGGGAGCCCAGAGGGAGGCAUGGGAUAGCCCUGUGCGCAGAGCUUUCAGGAGGAAUUAAUCACUGACAUGUUGACUUCUGGCCUCCAGAACACAGAGAGAAUAUACAUUGGUUGGAUUUGCAUUUCUGGUUUUUUGAGAAGGCUCAUGUAUGUUCCCCCCACUGGGCUUGAACCGACAAUCCUGCUUUAGCCUGGAGAAAAUGACAAAGGCAAUUCUGAAGAGGAAGGAGAGG
rnacentral:lncRNA from 1 species